CCUACGGGUGGCAGCAGUGAGGAAUAUUGGUCAAUGGACGCAAGUCUGAACCAGCCAUGCCGCGUGCAGGAUGACGGCUCUAUGAGUUGUAAACUGCUUUUGUACGAGGGUAAACACCGAUAUGUGUAUCGGGUAGAAAGUAUCGUACGAAUAAGGAUCGGCUAACUCGGUGCCAACAGCCGAGGUAAUACGGAGGAUCAGAGCGUUAUACGGAUUUAUUGGGUUUAAAGGGUGCGUAGGCGGGUUGAUAAGUUAGAGGUGAAAUGUCGGGGCUUAACCCCGGAACUGCAUCUAAUACUGUUGGACUAGAGAAUAGUUGCGGUAGGCGGAAUGUAGGGUGUAGCGGUGAAAUGCUUAGAGAGCAUACAGAACACCGAUUGCGAAGGCAGCUUACCAAACUAUAUCUGACGUUGAGGCGCGAAAGCGUGGGUAGCAAACAGGAUUAGAUACCCCGGUAGUC
rnacentral:rRNA from 1 species